rnacentral:rRNA from 1 species
UACGUAGGGUGCAAGCGUUGUCCGGAAUUAUUGGGCGUAAAGAGCUCGUAGGCGGUCUGUCGCGUCGGAUGUGAAAAUCCAGGGCUCAACCCUGGACCUGCAUUCGAUACGGGCAGACUAGAGUUCGGCAGGGGAGACUGGAAUUCCUGGUGUAGCGGUGAAAUGCGCAGAUAUCAGGAGGAACACCGGUGGCGAAGGCGGCCUGCUGGGCUGUUGCUGACGCUGAGGCGCGACAGCGUGGGGAGCAAACAGG